GGGGGGCGGGGAAUUGGUUAAAUUUGUUCCUCCCAAUUUCCCUUUUCUCUCCUCAUUUAUUCCUUCUGUUUCCCCCCAUUUUAUCCUUCUCUUUCCCUUAAACCAAUCCAUCUUCUUCUACUCUCCCCCUCUCAAUCGAUCUAUCCUCGCCAGCGUUAACUGUAUUCUUUUUCCUCCUUCUUCUCGAUACUUGAACUGGUAAGGUCCCGAUCUACUCAUUCACCACUUUUUUCGGAGUUGGUUGACGCCCAUUUCGACCCAUUUUCAUUACCUCCCAUCCAUUUGAUCGAGAUCUAAAAUAAGUUUUCGACGCGCAUGAUUUUUUUCUCCUCUUUAUCUUGUUUGCUUCACUCAAUCGAUUCGUGCAUGGCUUUUCUCUUUGAUUUGCCGUUCGAAUUUGAAGGGAUUUUUGUUUGUGUAAUGUCUUGUCGCUCGGAUUAGCCAUUGGCGCUCUGUUUUUGGUUGUUCGAUGAGUUUUUGAUACUACCAGUCGUCGACUUGGUUGAUCCGAGAAUGGUAGGGUAAAGUUUUCCAUGUACGUGAGUUAUAUCAAUUUCCUAUUUGUCAUGGCUACACAACGGUAGGUCUACAGGCGAAGUGCGUGCGAGUACGUAGCGAGACAUAAAUUCACCUGCUACAGUCCUUACGUCAUCCCACACAAAAAAAGAGUCCUUAACGUGCAUUUAUGUCGUUCAUUUGUUUUCUUUGCUAAGUUUAAGUACAACUAUAAUUAUAAAUACAUAGUCACAUUGGCAUUCAUGUAUAAGGGACUUUGACAGUGAACUUUUUUUUUUUAUUAUUAUUUACACUAUGUUUUUCCUUGA